UGUCCUCAGAGAAGGAUGGGUCUUAAAUUGUUUUGGACAUCAUUGUGACAAAUUUGGAUGUAUGUGUUUGGGGAAGGGGCUUCCCAAGUGGCUCAGUGAUAAAGAACCAGCCUGACAAUGCAGGAAAUGCAAUAGUUGCAAGUUCAAUCCCUGGGUCAGGAAGAUUACUUAGAGGAGGAAAUGGCAACCUACUCCAAUAUUCUUGAAUGGAAAAGCCCAUGAACAGAGGAGGCUGGUGGGCUACAGACCAUGGGGUUGAAAGAGUUGAACAGGACUGAGUAACUGAACAUGUAUGUCUGGGGGAAGAUGCUGUGGUGUAUUUUAAUUACACUGUGUUACAGGGUGGAGACCUAAGUUCCCAGGAUAAAUACAAAGGGCAGAAGCAGGAGACUAAAUACUAUGCAAGUUAAAAGUUUAUAGAAGAAAAAGAAAAUCCAUGUCUGAGUAGGGAUGUCAAUCGAGGGGAUAACAGAAUCAUUUAAUAGGAUUUGAAUUAAAAUAUUUCUUUCAUUCUACAAUUUUAAAGGCUCUUAAAAUUACAACAUGCUUCAUGUGUUGCAUUUCUUAUUUAAAUGAAGAAGUGGGUAAAUUUUCUCUGCAGGUUGGUGUAGGGCCUGGAAGGAAUCAUCAAGCAUUCAUGAAUGAACGGAUGAUUAACCUGAGUGAUACUUUUGAAAAUUGCUUGGAGCCAAUUUAAGAAAAGUAGGAGAAGACCACUUUUGUAUACUGUUGGCAUUGAUUUAAUAAGUUAUUUAUCUCAUGGUAUACUUGAAGGACAUUGAUUAUGGUUAAAUCUCAUUGAUGGGACAGGUGUAACAGAAGCAGAGUUCUGUAAUAUAUCAAAUGCACUAUUCUGUCCAAAUUAAAAUAACUGUUUAUAGACACAUCACACUGGAAUGCAUAUUCACACACAUACAAAUUGACACUGCUAAUCAUUUCAAAUUAUGUCUUAAUAGUUUUACUAGAGAUAUGAAAUGAUGUUAACUGAAGAAGGUUGUGAGAAAGGUGGUGACUGAAAGAAGUGGUAGAAGAAUAAAGAGACAGAUCAAGCAUCCUUGAGAUCCUUUGAGAAAUAUUUAGCAUCCUAUUGAGGUCUUGUCUCCUUUAUUGAAUGUGACUCCUUAACCUGGAUUCCUAGGCAAUCUUUAUUGUGGUAUUUAGAUUUUUGAUUUCUUUUGUUAGGGUUUUGGUAUUUUCAUGUAUAAAGAUUCUGUACAAAUUAGUUUGACUUAUACACGAGUAUUUCUUUUAGGGGGUGCUAUUGUAAAUAAUCAGUUUUUAAGAAUUUUUCAAGGUCUAGUUUUUCACUGCUGGUGUAUAUAAGGAUGGGGCUUCCCAGGUGACACAGUGGUAAAGAGUUGACCUGACAAUGCAGGUCGAUUAAGAGAAUAAGAGAUGGUUUCGAUUCCUGAGUUGGGAAGAUCCCCUAGAGAAGGAAAUGGCAACCCACUUCAGUAUUCUUGCCUUGGAAUCCUCAUGGAAAGAGGAGCCUGGCAAGCUACAGUCCAGGUGGUCACAAUAGAGUUAGACAUGCCUUAGCGACUAAAACAACAUCAACAAAUAUGAUACAAAAAUAAUUGGUUUUCAUCCUAGUUUAUUGGUUUCUGGAGGGUUUUGGUAAGUCAACUUGAGGAGUGGCUUAGACACUAAUGUCCUCUGGAAACAAAGAUAGUUUGAUUUCCUUCCCUAUUUGUAUACCUUUUAUAUCCUUUCCUUAUCUUUGUUACCAGCUGGUACUUGAAGUACAGUGUUAAAUACCAGUCUUAAGAGAAAAUAAGCUUGUGAUAGGUUUCACAUGAUUCAUUUAAUAUGCUGCUGAAUUUGGUUGUUAGUAAGGCAUACCUUGAACAUAUAACAAGUUCUGUUCCAGACCACUGCAAUAAAAAGCAAAUAUUGUAAUAAAGUGAGACACACAAAAUUUUUGGCUUCCCAGUGCAUGUACCAGUUAUGUUUACAAUACUGUAGUCUAUUAAGUGUGCACUAGAAUUGUGUCUUAAAAAGGUAUAUGUCUUAAUUUAAAAAUAACUUACUACUAAAACAUGCUAACCAUGAUCUGAGCCUUCAGUGAAUUGUAAUCUUUUUGUAGUAGUAGAGAUCAUUGAUUACAGAUAUUAGGACAAAUAUCUGUGAACAUAUUUAAUAAAUAUGCACAGAACAAAUGUAAUAAAUGAACAAAUGAAAUAAAUGAGAUGUUUGAUGAAAAAUGAAAAAGUUUGAAAUAUUGUGAGAAUCACCACAGUGUGACACAGAAAUGCAAAGUGAGAAAAUGCUGUUGGAAAAUU
rnacentral:lncRNA from 1 species